rnacentral:rRNA from 1 species
GAUGAACGCUGGCGGCGUGCCUAAUACAUGCAAGUCGAGCGAAUGGAUUAAGAGCUUGCUCUUAUGAAGUUAGCGGCGGACGGGUGAGUAACACGUGGGUAACCUGCCCAUAAGACUGGGAUAACUCCGGGAAACCGGGGCUAAUACCGGAUAAUAUUUUGAACUGCAUGGUUCAAAAUUGAAAGGCGGCUUCGGCUGUCACUUAUGGAUGGACCCGCGUCGCAUUAGCUAGUUGGUGAGGUAACGGCUCACCAAGGCAACGAUGCGUAGCCGACCUGAUAGGGUGAUCGGCCACACUGGGACUGAGACACGGCCCAGACUCCUACGGGAGGCAGCAGUAGGGAAUAUUGCACAAUGGGCGCAAGCCUGAUGCAGCAACGCCGCGUGAGGGAUGACGGCCUUCGGGUUGUAAACCUCUUUUAGUAGGGAAGAACAAGUGCUAGUUGAAUAAGCUGGCACCUUGACGGUACCUAACCAGAAAGCCACGGCUAACUACGUGCCAGCCGCCGCAGUAA